AGUAAAAUUGUUGGAUCAUAUGGUAAUUCUAUUUUUAGUUUUUUGAAGAAACUCCAUAUUGGUUGCACUAAUUUAUAUUCCCACCAACAGU
rnacentral:pre_miRNA from 1 species